UACCAGCACCCCGAGUGGUCGGGACGUUUAUUGGGCCUAAAGCAUCCGUAGCCGGUUCUGCAAGUCUUCCGUUAAAUCCACCUGCUUAACAGAUGGGCCGCGGAAGAUACUAUAGAGCUAGGAGGCGGGAGAGGCAAGCGGUACUCGAUGGGUAGGGGUAAAAUCCGUUGAUCCAUUGAAGACCACCAGUGGCGAAGGCGGCUUGCCAGAACGCGCUCGACGGUGAGGGAUGAAAGCUGGGGGAGCAACCGG
rnacentral:rRNA from 1 species